rnacentral:rRNA from 1 species
UCUCAACUUUAUUAGAAGAGACGCAUUUAUUAGAUAAAAAGCCAAUGCAUGCUUUUACAGUAUGGAAAUUGGUGAUUUAUAAUAACUUGGCAAAUCGCAAAGUGAAAACAGGCGAUAAAUCAUUCAAGUUUCUGACCUAUCAGCUUUCGACGGUAUGGUAUUGGCUUACCGUGGCAGUGACGGUUAACGGGGGAUUAGGGUUCGAUUCCGGAGAGGGAGCCUGAGAAACGGCUACCACAUCUAAGGAAGGCAGCAGGCGCGCAAAUUACCCAAUUCUAACAGUUUGAGAGAGGUAGUAACAAGAAAUAACAAUACAAGGCAAUUAAAAUGUUUUGUAAUUGGAAUGAUAGAAAUUUAAACCCUUUUUAAAGUAUCAAUUGGAGGGCAAGUCUGGUGCCAGCAGCCGCGGUAAUUCCAGCUCCAAUAGCGUAUAUUAAAAUUGUUGCAGUUAAAAAGCUCGUAGUUGAAGUUCUGCUAAAAGUAACCGGUCUGCUUUUAAUAAAAGUGGUAUCUUGGUGUGUAUUUAGCAAUGAUGUCCUUUGAAGUGUUUUUUACUUUAUUGUAAUAAAGCAUAUUCAGGACUUUUACUUUGAGAAAAUUAGAGUGUUUCUAGCAGGCCGACGCUUUGAAUACUGCAGCAUGA